GAUGAACGCUGGCGGCGUGCCUAACACAUGCAAGUCGAGCGUGAACCCUUAGAAUGAAACUUCGGUCGAAUGACGAGGGGAAAGCGGCGGACGGGUGAGUAACGCGUAGGCAACCUGCCCCGUACAGAGGGAUAGCCUCGGGAAACCGGGAUUAAAACCUCAUAACACCAUGGUAUCACAUGAUGCAAUGGUCAAAGAUUUAUCGGUAUGGGAUGGGCCUGCGUCUGAUUAGCUGGUUGGUGGGGUAACGGCCUACCAAGGCAACGAUCAGUAGCCGACCUGAGAGGGUAAUCGGCCACAUUGGAACUGAGACACGGUCCAAACUCCUACGGGAGGCAGCAGUGGGGAAUAUUGCACAAUGGGCGAAAGCCUGAUGCAGCAACGCCGCGUGAGCGAAGAAGGCCUUUGGGUCGUAAAGCUCUGUCGGGAAGGAAGAUAAUGACGGUACUUCCCGAGGAAGCCCCGGCUAACUACGUG
rnacentral:rRNA from 1 species